ensembl:lncRNA
UUUUAUUUUUCAUAAUAGAAUUUGAAAAUGUAUAUGUUAUCACCACAGGCCCAAACUACCCCACCGUAAUAUCUUCCAGUUUUGGUGUGGCUGCAGGAUUGGGAAAAAUGUAGAAUUAUCUGUCUGUUUGUCUAUCGCUCUGUUUGUCGGUUGUUCUAUCUUUUUUCUUUCUGUUUAUAUCUAUCUGUCUGUCUGUCCAUGGUUCUUUCUGUCUUUCUGUUCUUUUUGUCAUUCUAUCAUUCCAUCUGUCUGUUUUUUCUGUCUGUCAUUCUAUUAUUCUGUUUACUUUUGUCUGUCUGUUAUUCUCUUGUUCUAUAUAUGUCUGUCAUUUUAUCAUUCUGUAAUUAGUUCUAUCAUUCUUUCUUUCUGUCUGUCUGUCGUUCUGUUUCUUUGUAGUUGUAUCAUUAUGCCUGUCUGUUGUUAUUUCUCUGUCUGCUGUUCUAUCAUUCUUUCUGUCCUCUGUUCUGUCUGUCAUUCUAUUGUUCUGUUUAUCGUUCUAUCUGUCACUCUAUCUCUCUGUUGUUCUAUCUGCCUGUUUUUCUGUCUGGUUUUCGUCUGUCUGUCUGUCAUGUCAUUUUAUCAUUCUGACUUUCUGUCCUUCAUAUAUGGCAUAUAAAAGAUGUUUUAAUUUUUUGUCAAACCAACAUUAAUUUUUUCCUAAACAUUUGGUUUACUAUUUAAAAAGAUUAUUAAAGAAAUGUCUUUGUAUUUCUAUUAAUUUUAUGUCUUCUUCCUUUGUAUAAAAAAAUCUGAUUUAAAGUGGCAAUUUAGAAUAUUUCAUGCAAUGUGUAUUGUAGCUGUAUGCGAAUGUAAAUGAUCUACAAAGUUGCAAAAGUGCAUGAUAAUUAAAGUUAUUGUCUCCCAAAAGAAUGAAUAGACUCUGAACAGCCUAAAUGAGUCAUCAGUAUUUCGUGCAACCGUCACUUCCAUGACGGUUGCACAUCACAGGUAACAUAUUUGCAUAAUAUGUUCUACGUUGACCCGCCCCCAAACACUGUAGCUUAUUCGUGUGGUUAACAUCAUGGCGAGAUGAUGCUGUGAAAGUAAAUUUGUUUUAUUUUAACUUCCUAAAGAUGAGGCUGCAAAGAAUCAGUGGUUAAAAUAUUUUUUUUCCACAGCAGUACAAACCUAAUCUUUUUUUGUGUUCCCUUUCAUUUUACUGACGACUGCUUCUCUAAUCUUGGGAGUUCAACACGGGAUUCACAAAACGCCUGCUCUUGAAAGAUGGCUCAGUACCCACUUUAUUUGGACCAGCUGGCUCCACUGAAUCACAACCUGUAAGUGUGAGAAAUAAUAGAUGCUUAUAUCUUCUAUCAAGUGUUUAAAAUACAGAACUAUGACUAUGGGUGUAUCGUUUCCGACACACACUGUACACGGUAGACCAAUCACAACAGACUGGGCCAUCUGACCAAUCAGAGCAGAGAAGGCUCACGGAAAGGAGGGGUUUAGAGAGACUGAAUCUUAGAACCACUUCAAACUAAUCGCUUAAGAAUCAUUGGAAAAUAAAGUGAUAUUAAAUGCAUAUUUUGAUAAAACA